UUGUCACAUAUCUCAGUUGGUAGAGCAUGAGACUUUCAGUCUCACAGUUGUGGGUUCGAUCCCCACAUUGGACAAA